GGUUAAGCGACUAAGCGUACACGGUGGAUGCCCUGGCAGUCAGAGGCGAUGAAGGACGUGCUAAUCUGCGAUAAGCGUCGGUGAGGUG
rnacentral:rRNA from 2 species